GGGCCCGCACAAGCGGUGGAGUAUGUGGUUUAAUUCGAUGCAACGCGAAGAACCUUACCAGGGUUUGACAUCCUGCGAAUCUCUUGGAAACUUGAGAGUGCCUUCGGGAGCGCAGUGACAGGUGGUGCAUGGCUGUCGUCAGCUCGUGUCGUGAGAUGUUGGGUUAAGUCCCGCAACGAGCGCAACCCACGUCUUUAGUUGCCAGCAUUUAGUUGGGCACUCUAGAGAGACCGCCGGUGAUAAACCGGAGGAAGGUGUGGAUGACGUCAAGUCAUCAUGCCCCUUACAUCCUGGGCUACACACGUGCUACAAUGGGGCGUACAAAGGGUUGCAAUCCCGCGAGGGGAG
rnacentral:rRNA from 1 species